GGAGGGUGUAGAAGAGAAGAAGAAGGAAGUUCCCGCUGUGCCAGAAACCCCUAAGAAAAAGCGAAGGAAUUUCACAGAGCUGAAGACCAAGCGCCUGAGAAAGAAGUUUGCCCAAAAGAUGCUUCGAAAGGCAAGGAGGAAGCUUAUCUAUGAAAAAUUGAAGCACUAUCACAAGGAAUAUAGGCAGAGGUACAGAACUGAAAUUCGAAUGGAAAAGAUGUCAAGAAAAGCUGGCAACUUCUAUGAACCUGCAGAAUCCAGACUGGCGUUUGUCAUCAGGAUCAGAGGUAUCGAUGGUGUGAGCCCAAAGGUCCGAAAUGUGUUGCAGCUUCUUUGCCUUUGUCAAAUCUUCAAUGGAACCUUUGUGAAGGCCAAUUAACAUGCUGAGGAUUGUAGAGCCAUACAUUGCAUGCGGGUACCUAAAUCUGAAGUCAGUAAAUAAACUAAUCUACAAGCGUGGUUAUGGCAAAAUCAAUAAGAAACGAAUUGCUUUGACAGAUAACGCUUUGCACGAUCUCUUGGAAAAUAUGGCAUCAUCUGUAUGGAGGAUGUGAUUCAUGAGGUCCAUACUGUUGGAAAACGCUUCAAAGAAGCACAUAACUUCCUGUGGUCCUUCAAAGUAUCUUCUCCAUGAGGCAGAAUGAAGAAACAGACCACCCAUUUCGUGGAAGGUGGAGAUGCUGGCAACAGGGAGGACCAGAUCAACAGGCUUGUUAGAAGAAUGAAC
rnacentral:lncRNA from 1 species